CAAUCGCAAUCGUAAUCAAAAAGUUCUCGAUAGCGGCAAAAAUUUUAAAUUGAAUGUUCGUUCAACUGAAAAGGAAACAAUAAUGAACUCAGAGCUUCAAUCUAUUGUUGAAGCGCCUAAACUAGAGGGUUUCGAUAUUGCAGAACUUUUUGGAAUCCGAUAUUGAUUGUAUUUUCCAACAGACACCAUGAACUGAAUUUGCAUUCAAUGGACUCUUGAUUUGUUGCGAUUUCAUGGACAUGUUUCCAGGAGCUUCCGUACAAAUGAGCCAAUGGAGUUUGUUUCAAGACAAAAUUAUUUAAAAAUUCAAAUAUUUGCACCCAUCUCUAAACAAUCAGUUCAUUUGUUCAAUACUAAUUAUUAAAGAAAAAAUCCAUCCCGUGGAAUCAAAAGGACUAAAAAAGGAUAGCAGAAAAUAACUAAUCUGUUGGAAGGCAUUGUCGAAUGGAUAAAUCCGGAAGACGACAUUAAUAACUACGUCAUGAGCAACCAGGGCACACGAAAUCCGGUGAUGAUCAUUUAAGGACAUUUAUAUUCCGAGGGAGAAUGUUUUAUUCGCAUAGGACAGACAUUUUUUCCAGUAGGGCUUGAUAUUGAGUACGCAUUUUUCCCAAUGAUCGAGACACAUUAUUUUUUCAACUGCAAGUUUGAGUCAGCACAUGCCAACUCUUUUCCUAUUUAUACGGGAGCUAUUUUGAAUGUAUCUAAACCAUCAAAGGCCGUAAAUAAUUUUAUUGUUUUGUUAAAUUAUAAUUUAAGAUAUAAAAAUGACAAAAAUUUUAAUUGAUAACUAAAUUUUGGGAGAUUUUUUUCGGUCAUGCAUCGAAAGUACAAUAUUUCAAUUCGAGAUUUCGAUGCAUGCUCGAAAAAUCUUUCUCAGUCAUAUGUUUUCUUAUUUCCACGUACAAUUUACGCAACCAGAAAUCUA